GGACCUGCUUAUCUCUAGUCCUAUAGGGAUGGUAGCUGAGAGAGGGGGCCAGUGUCUCUAGAGGGGGCCAGUGUCUCUGUCUAGGAGGUUGUGGCCCCAGGCUGGUAUCUCCGUGUCCCCCAGGGGUCUGUCCUGCUCUGACUGCUUGGCCAGGAGGGAAUUCUGCUGGGCCUUGGUCAUGGGGAGAUCCUUUGACGGUGUGGUGAGGAUGGACAGUCUCUGAGGAAUCAAUAAAGAGGACAGAGGAGCAUUUCAAAGACAGACCACCAAAGGACUGAGACAUAAAAUAACUGUGUACCAGGAGUGACGCUCACGAUGUAAACCAUCCAUAGAGGAACCAUAAGGGUGGAGGAGAGAGUGAACCACAAGCCAACGGCGGAACCCCACCAAGGAUACUGAAAGGUCACCAAGGCCGCUCAUCAUUAUGCACACCUGUCACUUCCGUUACGCGCACCAGCACCUCAUCAGACUCACAUCCAUUUCAUCACCUUCCUGAUAAACCAUCCCUAUAUCUGUCACUCCCUUUGGUUCCUUCCCCAGGUGUUAUUGUUUCUGUUCCGGUGUUCAUGUCUGUACGCUACCUAUCUUUUUUUUUGUCAUGUUCGAUGUUAAUCGAGUUAUUAAAUACACUCCCUGAACUUGCUUCCCGACUCCC